rnacentral:lncRNA from 1 species
UAAUUCAAGUAAUAGAUGCCUGAUAAGUAGGUAUAAAACCUACUUAUCAGUUGCACAGUAAUCGGAUAAGGUUUAAAAUUAAUAAACCCUAAUAAGAGAUUAGAAAUCCUAAUCUCAGACCUAGAAAACCCUAACACGCAGUUAGAAACCUUAAUCAAAAGCCAGGAAACCCUAAUUUCAAAUUCGGGAAUCCUAAAACCCUAAUUAGGAAACCCUAAUCCUAAUUGGCAAGCCUAAUGUGUUUAUUAAAUUUAAAU